rnacentral:lncRNA from 10 species
GGGUGCUGGCGGCUCCCCUUGGGCAGAGCCGCCCCUGUGUCCUGCACAUCCAGGGCUGGUUCCCUGUGUGGCCUCCUUAUCAGUUAGCAGGUUGGAUUCUGCUUGUUGCUUGAAAUUAAGGCAGUGGUGUUCAUCAGCAAACUACUUAAACAAUUCAGAAAAUACACCCAAGUAGGCAAAAGAGAAAAAAGAAAUCUAAAGGGAUGCAAAAUCUCAAAAGGGAAAAGAAACCACCUUAAUCCAGAUAAGCCUUCGCUGUCCCUGAUGAAGUUGCCUGGGCACACCAGAGUGUGGGAGAGUGGACGGCGCGGCCCCUCCUGCACUUGGAGCUGCUCUCAGAUCUUGGGCUGUGACCCCUGUGGGUGACACGAAGUUCAGUGAUUGUCCUCCUUCUGGACUGAGGGACAUCCAUCCACACGCGCCCCCUCCACAGCCCGAUCCCAUCACGUCCUGCUCGUCCAACAUGGGCCUUAGAUCCUGGGGUCUCUGCUGAGUGCCUCCCCUCUGAACGCCCGGCUGGCACUUUCACGGUGAAGCCAGCUGUCAUGGACACCGACGGCAGGUGGCCUUUCUGCGUUGUCUACCGGCUGAUCUUGAAAGUGAAAACGGACAUUGUCUGCCCUGUGGUGACCGUGUUGGGUGAUGGUCCUGGGGUCAGGCCCUGCAUGCACCUUCACCCAGGGAUGGCUUCUUAGCUGACAGCGGCUCUGCCAGGAACCACGAUCACCCUCCAGUUUGCUCUUUGUGCUGAAUUUUAUUGACAUGAAAUUCGCAUGACGCCAACUUUAUCGUUUUAAAGUGAAUGGUUAAACAGAAUGCGGCACUUUCACAGGGCGGCAUGACCCCCACCUCUGUCUGCCUUCAGAACAUUUUCAUCCCCCACGAAAGGAGGAAGCGCAGUCCCCAGGAACAGUUACUCCUCAUUUCCCCUCCCCAGCUCUGGCUUCCGCAACCACGAAUCUGCUUUCUGUCUCCGUGAAUUUGCCUCUUUCGGAUAUAUUUCACGUAAAUGGAGUCCCGUGAUAGAUGAGCUGUGUCUGCCUCUUGCGGGCAGCACAGUGUCUGGAAGGUUCUCCGUGCAGCCGCAGGGGUUGGCGCUUCCUUCCUCCCGAGGCUGACCCGGCCCCGUCGUACGGGGAGUCCACUGUGUGUCUGUCUUUUGGCUGCUGUGAGCCUGGGUGUGCCGCCUGCUCCAGCCCAUGUUUUCAGCUCUUUCAGGUGUGGAGGGAGGAGUGGAAUUGUGGGAUCAUAUUGUAACUUUAACUUUGGAAGGAUCUGCCAAAUUACCCCUCUAAUUUGUUUUCAAUUUUAUUCUUAUUUCCCUGUCACUUGUUCUUUCUUUUGACUGGUUAAAAAAAAUGGCAAAGGUCUUCAGCAAAACAAGAAGUGAGUUUCAAUUGAACCGUGAAUUAAAUAUGAUACACUCAAAAUCUGACCAAUAAUACAUUUUAAUUUUCCCCACACAUUUACGUCCACGUUAAUUUCAUGGAAAUCAAGAUGCUUUUGCCUCUGUUCUAAAGUAUUUAUUUUUUUUAAGACAGGUUCUUACUCUGUUGCCCAGGCUGGAGUGCAAUGGCGCGAUCUCAGCUCACUGCAGUCUUGACCUCCCAGGCUCAAGCAAUCCUCCUGCCUCAGCCUCCUGAGUAGCUGGGACCACAGGUGUGCAUCACCAUGCCUGGCUAAUUUGUUACAUUUUUAGUAGAGACGGGGUUUCACCAUGUUGGCCAGGCUGGUCUGGAACUCCUGACCUGAAGCGAUCCUCCCACCUCAGCCUCCCACAGUGCUGGGAUUACAGGCGUGAGCCACCACGUGCAGCCUGAAAGUAUUUUUUUUUAGAGUUUCCUAAAAGUUUCAUCAUCCCUUUUGUUUUCCUAACAAGCUGUGAAACCCAGUGGGUUUUAAUUGUGAAUCAGCACCAAAACACAUGCAGAUUUAAUUUUUAAUUGAAAUGAUGGACAAUAAACAGAAUUAAUAACUCAAAUGCUUGAAGUCUGUCAAGCAUGGUGCUUUGUCUUUGCCAUGGACAUGAAAAAGCAGCAUUCCCCUCCGGACUUGAGGCUGGGGACCUUCUGAGUCAGAGCAGCCCCUCCCUCCCCACCUCCACGGCUGUUUCCACUUUGCCAUCUCCCCAGCGGGCUCUGCCCGUCCACCUGUGAGACACUCUGACUCCACGGCUUGGCUUCUGCUUGCCCCAGGCAGUGGGAUUCGGUGGCCAGGCCCUCAUUUGUUUCCCCCUCCUCCUUUCCCCAGCAGCUCCUGGCCUGGCAUGCAGCAGGUGCUCUGCUGGGCGAGUGGGAGGAGGGAGCAUAGCCACCGCUGCAGGUGGUCUGUUUGGUGCUGGGAGACGUCAUGCGUGUGUUGUCAGGCACUGGAACCCCCUGGGAGGGUGCAGGGCAGGUUUAGGACAGCCACGUGUGCCCAGAUCUAUGAGACCUUUGUGGGCUCGACUGAGUUGGGGGCUGGGCACAGAGCUUGGAGACCUCUUACUGGGAGCUGUGUGAGUGGCAGGGCCAAGGCUGUGGGGGCUGCAGGAGCUGGUGAGGAGGCAUGUGCUCGGCCGUCAUGGGACUGUCCCUGGGACUCCUGCAGCUGGGGUAGGCUCCAGGCAGGGCUCUGAGCUGCCCCCACACACCUCCAUGCAACCCCAGCUCCAUGUGCUGCUGGAAAGUCCCUGAGUACCAGGGGGGCACCUGGGGAGGGGCCUGAGUCCUGCAGACAGACCUGGGAUGGGGGUGUCAUCCACAGGUGAGGAGUGGUCCGUGCCAGGGACAGGCAGAGCCGCCAGCAUGGGCCCUGCUGGGAUCUCCGAUUGGGAAAACCAUCCCGCCACGGGAGGUGGCCAAGGUGCGUCCCCCAGCCUAUGCAUUGGGGUCCUGGUUCCAUCCCCGCCUCUCCUGUGGGCCGCACUCAGUGCCUUUUCCAUGUAACCCGUGCCGUGUGCGGUGCUCAGAGGAGGAGCGAUCGUCAUGGGGAGCUGCAGUGCCUUUUCCAUGUAACCCGCGCCGUGUGCGGGGCUCCGAGGAGGAGAGGACGUCACGGGGAGCUGCGGUGCCUUUUCCAUGUAACCCGCGCCGUGUGCGGGGCUCGGAGGAGGAGCGGUCAUCACGGGGAGCUGCAGCGCGUCUGGUGAUGUGGGGCUCACAGGCUCCUAAUGAGGCUCUCAGUCUUGUUUAUUGCGUUCUUGCUGGAAGAUUUUUUUUCUGAAACGUAGGCACAGAAUGAACUUGAAAUAUUGAGCUCUGCUUGAAAUAAAAAUGUCUUGAUAAUUAGAACCUUUGCCUGAACAGAUUCCUGUGGGGCUGCGCUGUGCAGGCUGGUUACGGGUGGGGCUCUGCUGCCCACCGAGUCAUUGCUCAAAGGCAAACGGGUCAAGCCACCGAG